AGUUUGAUUCUGGCCCACUGAACGCUGGCGGGAUGCUUUGAAGAAGAUGCAAGUCGAACGGCAGCACGGACUUCGGUCUGGUGGCGAGUGGCGAACGGGUGAGAAUGGAAUGAACGCCUAGUAGCGGGGGAUAACUACGCGAAAGGUAGCACACUGCAUACGUUCCUUCGGGGAAAGGGGACCUUCGGCCUGCACUAUUAGAGCGGCCGAUAUCGGAUUAGCUAGUUGGUGGCAAUCGUUCACCAAGGCGACGAUCCGUAGCUGGUUUGAGAGAGGACGACCAGCCACACUGGGACUGAGACACGGCCCAGACUCCUACGGGAGGCAGCAGUGGGAAUUUUGACAAUGGGGAAACCCUGAUCCAGCCAUCCCGCGUGUGCGAUGAAGGCCUUCGGGUUGUAAAAGCACUUUUUGGCAGGAAGAAACGGCACGGAUAAUACCCCGUGCAACUGACGGUACCUGCAGAAUAAGCACCGGCUACGUGCCAGCAGCCGCGGUAAUAAUAUGUAGUGGUGCAGCAGUAAUCGGAAUUACUGGGCGAAGCGCAGGCGGUUGGAAAGAAAGAUGUGAAAUCCCAGAGCGAACUUUCGAACUGCAUUUAACUGAGCUAGAGUGUGUCAGAGGGAGGUGACUCGCGUGUAGCGGUGAAAUGCGUAGAUAUGCGGAGGAACACCGAUGGCGAAGGCAGCUUCUGGGAUAACCGGAUGGCUCAUGGCACGAAAGCGUGGGGAGCAAACAGGAUUAGAUACUCCUGUGUCCACGCCCUAAACGAUGUCAACUAUUGUUGGGCCUUUCGGGCCUUUGCAGUGCAGCUAACGCGUGAAGUUGACCGCCUGGGGAGUACGGUCGCAGAUUAAACUCAAAGGAAUUGACGGGACCUGCACAAGCGGGCGGAUGUAUGGAUUAAUCUGAUGCAACGCGAAAACCCACUACCCUUGACAUGUCUAACCCCGAAGAGAUUUGGGAGUGCUCGCAAGAGAACCGGAACACAGGUGUUUACGGCUGCUUUCGUCAGCUCGUGUCGUGAGAUGUUGGGUUAUCCUGCAACGAGCGGCAACCUUGUCAUUAGUUGUUGCCGAAAGGGCACUCUACUUGAGACCGCCGGUGACAAACCGGAGGAAGGUGGAUGACGUCAAGUCCUCAGCGGUCUUUGCAGGGUAGGGUCACACGUCAUACAAUGGCCGGGACAGAGGGUCACAACCUGGCGAGGGGGAGCCAAUCCCAGAAACCCGAUCGUAGUCCGGAUCGCGGUCUGCAACUCGACUGUGUGAAGUCGGAAUCACGCUGGUAAUCGCGAUCAGCAUGUCGCGGUGAAUACGUUCCCUGGUCUUGCGUUACCACCCGCCCGUCACACCAUGGGAGGGUUUUACCAGAAGUGAAGUGGCCUAACCGUAAGGAGGGCGAUUACUACGGUAGGAUUCAUGACUGGGUGGUCGUAAUGAAGGUAACU
rnacentral:rRNA from 1 species